GAACUUGCUUUGGUAAUCUUGCCUUUGGGAAGAGUGUUAGGUGCAGGACAGGCUGAACUAAGUUGUCUGCAGGGCAGGCUGAACAAACGUUAGCUGCAGGAUAACCCAUGCACCCAAACCACCUUGUGUCUGGUCCUUUAUCACCUAUUUUGCGUCAAGUUUGAACACUCAACCCCCCCCCCCAAGGCUGAACCCUUAACCCCGCUUGUGCCAACAAGGCAGCUUGCAGACCCAGAGACCCCAUUAGAUUUUAGCUAUAAAAACUCCCUCCUGCCGGGCCACUCUCUCUUGCUCUGUCUCCCUCUCUUGCUUUUGUUCUCCAUUGCUCUCUCUUUCUUCUCUUGCUCUCUCUCUCUUUUUCUCCUCUUUUGCACUGUUGCAAUAAAGAUCUCUUGGUCCCUCCAAGUGUUGUGGUCACUUUCCUUUCAAAGAGAAACUCCUCAGAAGAAAUAUAAAGAGUGAAC
rnacentral:lncRNA from 1 species